rnacentral:lncRNA from 1 species
GCCCGACAUAAGCAAUUUAUAUGCACCUGAAAAACUACGCUGAUAACGUUGCAGGGAAUAUUGACAGGAGAAGUCAAAUUACCAGUGACGUCAUGCCUAUUCGCACUUUCGUUGAGGUUACUAGGGGAGCCAAUCAUAGCGAUUUAUUUUGGUUUUAAUCCGAAUCUAGCACGGUGAGACAUUUUUUUUUAAAUUUUUUGAUAAAGCAUGACAAAGGGUAGUUAAUAAAGGAACAUGAGAACAUUGACAUCGAAAGAACCACAUAAUUUCCGCAUUUCAAAAUUUUAAGCCAAAUGUACUGUAAACAUCUUAUUUGUGGUUUCAAGCUUGGAUUUAUAAUGAAAUGAUUCUAAAGAUAUUUAUUUCCCCCUUAUUUCCACUUACCAAGGCUAUACAUGAAUGCAUUUAUUUUAUUUAUGACGAAAACUACUCUAAACAUUUUAGAAAUUUGCAUAUAUUUUCUUCUUCUUCAAAUUUAAGUUUAGCC